rnacentral:rRNA from 1 species
UACAGAGGUCUCAAGCGUUGUUCGGAUUCAUUGGGCGUAAAGGGUGCGUAGGCGGCGCGGUAAGUCGGGUGUGAAAUCUCGGAGCUUAACUCCGAAACUGCAUUCGAUACUGCCGUGCUUGAGGACUGGAGAGGAGACUGGAAUUUACGGUGUAGCGGUGAAAUGCGUAGAUAUCGUUAAGGAAGACCAGUGGCGAAGGCGGGUCUCUGGACAGUUCCUGACGCUGAGGCACGAAGGCCAGGGGAGCAAACGGG